ACAGCAGUCUCCUUCCUUCGGGUUAGGCAAUAAUCAUCCGGGGCACUAUCCACUCGCCGUAGGCGGAUACACAAACACACACACGGUUCCGGCGUCCCGUUGCUAACUUACAGCUAGCUUAUGCUAACGUCUGUACUGUUGCUACUUUGGCUGUUUGGGGGCGAACAAACAAACGACCCCGCGGUCACAUUCACCGGAAUGACGCUAGGAGAAAACUACGCAUCGCUGUGAGAAGGAAUAUGGCGUUUGAUAUCGGUUUUGUUUGUGUUUCUGCUAAUAGACGGUUGCAGGUGGACUGGUGUUUACAUGGUCCGUGGGAGCUGGAAGUCCGCAGUCAGCUGUGUGGCGGCUGCAGUGCUUUGAUUAGUCUCCUAGCUGCAGAUCUGCAGCCUCAAUAGAUGUCAUCUGGGAAGAAGAAGAAGAAGAAGAAGAAGAAGAAGAAGAAGAGGAGCCUUGUAGAGACCAGCUGAAGGAACAUCUUCUCUGAGCUGAAGCUCUGAGAUGAGUGCAGAGUUUCCGGACCACAACGGAGAAGUUCCUUCAAUCCAUUCAUGCCGCCUUCUCUCCGUACUCACUGUAUACUCAUAGUAUUGUAUGUCAUGAAAUAAUUUAAUAAAAAAGUAAGUAAUAGUACGUAUUAUGUCAAAAAAAAAGCUCAGAAAAGUCAUACAUGUCAAAAAGUGUUAUUACAUUACAUAAUUAUUACAUAAUACAUAUUGUAUUAUGA